UACGUAGGGGGGCAAGCGUUGUCCGGAAUCAUUGGGCGUAAAGAGCGUGUAGGCGGCCCUGAUAAGUCGGCUGUGAAAAGUCAAGGGCUCAACCCUUGAAUGCCGGCCGAUACUGUCAGGCUAGAGUCCGGAAGAGGCGAGUGGAAUUCCCUGGUGUAGCGGUGGAAUGCGCAGAUAUCAGGAGGAACACCAACGGCGAAGGCAGCUCGCUGGGACGGUACUGACGCUGAGGCGCGAAAGCGUGGGGAGCAAACAGG
rnacentral:rRNA from 1 species